AGGGUUCGAUUAUGGCUCAGGAUUAACGCUGGCGGCGUGCUUAACACAUGCAAGUCGAACGAGGUGAUGUUUUCGGAUAUCACCGAGUGGCGGACGGGUGAGUAACGCGUGGAUAACCUGCCCUGUACAGGGGGACAACAGCUGGAAACGGCUGCUAAUACCGCAUAAGCGCACGGGACCGCAUGGUCCUGUGUGAAAAGAUUUUAUCAGUACAGGAUGGAUCCGCGUCUGAUUAGCCAGUUGGCGGGGUAACGGCCCACCAAAGCGACGAUCAGUAGCCGAUCUGAGAGGAUGACCGGCCACAUUGGGACUGAGACACGGCCCAG
rnacentral:rRNA from 1 species